rnacentral:rRNA from 1 species
CACGUAGGGCGCAAGCGUUGUCCGGAAUUAUUGGGCGUAAAGAGCUCGUAGGCGGUCUGUUGCGUCCGCUGUGAAAACUCGGGGCUUAACCCCGAGCCUGCAGUGGAUACGGGCAGACUAGAGGUAGGUAGGGGAGACUGGAAUUCCUGGUGUAGCGGUGAAAUGCGCAGAUAUCAGGAGGAACACCGGUGGCGAAGGCGGGUCUCUGGGCCGAUAUUGACGCUGAGGAGCGAAAGCGUGGGGAGCGAACAGG